GCCGUCACCCAUUUUUGGGUGACGCGGUACGGAACGUGUUAAGCAACAUCGGGCAUGGUUAGUACUUAGGUGGGUGACCACUUGGGAACGCCAUGUGUCGUUGGCA
rnacentral:rRNA from 1 species